rnacentral:rRNA from 1 species
AAGCGCUUGCAACCAGACUUGUGUUUAAUGGUUCCCUCAGUCUUCUGACUGGGCUAUUCCGUUAUAUCCAGGCCAGCAUCGGUUCGGGUGGUUGGUGAAAGAUCUUGGGAAUGUAUCUACCUUCGGGUCGACUUAUAGCUCAGGGUGUAAUGCAGCCUAUCUGGACCGAGGAACGCGCUUUUGCUCGGAUGCUGGCGUAAUGGUUGUAAGCG